rnacentral:rRNA from 1 species
CACGUAGGGGGCGAGCGUUGUCCGGAUUUAUUGGGCGUAAAGAGCUCGUAGGCGGUUCGGUAAGUCGGGUGUGAAACCUCCAGGCUCAACCUGGAGUCGCCACUCGAUACUGCUGUGACUAGAGUCCGGUAGGGGAGCGUGGAAUUCCUGGUGUAGCGGUGAAAUGCGCAGAUAUCAGGAGGAACACCGGUGGCGAAGGCGGCUAUCUGGACAGAGUCUGACGCUGAGGCGCGAAAGCUAGGGGAGCAAACAGG